CCUAAAUACAAUGGGUCAAUUCCACAUGCAGAUUAUUCCACACGGCAAAGCAAGACAAACGUUUGCUAUAGUUUUCUUAUCCAAUUUUCACCCAAAUUUAACCAAACUUUAGUCAAUUGGCCCUUGGCCAUUAGCCCCACAAAUUUUCGUAUUAAUACGUUUGAUAUUUUAAGUUACUCUGCUGACAGACAGACAGACAGACA